UACGUAGGGUGCGAGCGUUAAUCGGAAUUACUGGGCGUAAAGCGUGCGCAGGCGGUUCGUUAAGUCAGAUGUGAAAGCCCCGGGCUCAACCUGGGAACUGCAUUUGAAACUGGCGGGCUUGAGUAUGGCAGAGGGGGGUGGAAUUCCGGGUGUAGCAGUGAAAUGCGUAGAGAUGCGGAGGAACACCGAUGGCGAAGGCAGCCCCCUGGGCCAAUACUGACGCUCAGGCACGAAAGCGUGGGGAGCAAACAGG
rnacentral:rRNA from 1 species